rnacentral:rRNA from 1 species
GACCUCGAAUCAGGUAGGACUCCCGCUGAACUUAAGCAUAUAAUAACGGGGGG